CAAGGAGAGAGGAAGUGACUUGUCAGGAUCACAGAAAAUAUCUGUGGGAGAGUAGGAGCUGAACCUGCAUCUCCCAGAGCCUAGGAACCAGCAACCAGGGAAACUGGCUCCAUUGAACUGAUCGAGCCAAGAGUACUGACGAACCACAGUAGUGUGGGCAAUGUGCCAGCACAGAGAGACAAGGCUGGUGACACAGUCCUCAACCUGACAGUGACCAAAUGUCUGGCCUCCAACUGAGCCCAGCCCAGCACCAAUCCGAUUGGCUCACUCAGUGGAAGGCUCCCCUGUGCCCUUACCUGCCAGAACUCCUUUCUGUUCUGGGCAGGGACUGUGGCCCUGCUCUGGAUUCAAGCUACAUGGACCCUGGAUGAAGGACUCCAGCUGUGGGCUCAGUUAUGGCUUUAGCCACUGGGGUCAAUUCAGAGCUGCACUGGCCAUGGAGAAACACCUGGAGUUACUUUACUGAAGCCACAGGGGUUAGGGCAGGGGUGGAUGAGGCCCCCAAUUUUCAGCCGUUCUGCGUGAGCUCCUGCUGUACUUUGCGGGAGCAGAAUCACGCUUUCGGGAAGCUCCUCAUUCAAUGAUUUCUUGUUUCAAUACCUCA